rnacentral:rRNA from 1 species
GUGACGUGUAGCAUAACGGCAUCAUGUAGCCUGUGUACAUACACUAAACGUUGCCUCGGCGGGAACAGACGGCCCCGUGAAAACGGGCCGCCCCCGCCAGAGGACCCCCUAACUCUGUUUCUAUAAUGUUUCUUCUGAGUAAAACAAGCAAAUAAAUUAAAACUUUCAACAACGGAUCUCUUGGCUCUGGCAUCGAUGAAGAACGCAGCGAAAUGCGAUAAGUAAUGUGAAUUGCAGAAUUCAGUGAAUCAUCGAAUCUUUGAACGCACAUUGCGCCCGCCAGUAUUCUGGCGGGCAUGCCUGUUCGAGCGUCAUUACAACCCUCAGGCCCCCGGGCCUGGCGUUGGGGAUCGGCGGAGGCCCUCCGUGGGCACACGCCGUCCCCCAAAUACAGUGGCGGUCCCGCCGCAGCUUCCAUCGCGUAGUAGCUAACACCUCGCGACUGGAGAGCGGCGCGGCCACGCCGUAAAACCCCCAACUCUUCUGAAGUUGACCUCGAAUCAGGUAGGAAUACCCGCUGAACUUAAGCUAUCAAAGGCGGGGAGGAAACCGCAGGAC